UUCAAAUCCUCCAUCCCAACAAACACUUGGUUUGGCUUCGAUUUGCGUCAAUAUACUUUCCCACCGCCGCCCUCCGUCUUCCCAGCCCCUCCUCCUCCUUCCCAUCCCUUGGUACCACCGCCGGAGCCAAUCUUUUCAUCACCGCCUCCUCCACCAAAGCCAAUUCUUCCUCCACCGCCACCACCUCCUCAGCCUACUCCUCCAUCGUCCUCCAGCAAGAUCUCAGGUCAGAAGUGGGGUAUGGUGUCUGUGAUUUUGGGAUUGUUGACUGCUCUUUUAUGAUUCUGCAGUAGCUGUUCGGUUUGCGUAGUAGGUAGAUUUUGUAGUGGUGGG
rnacentral:lncRNA from 1 species